CAGCAGCCGCGGGAAUACGAAGGGUGCAAGCGUUAAUCGGAAUUACUGGGCAUAAGGCGUGCGUAGGCGGUGAGUUAAGUCUGCUGUGAAAUCCCCGGGCUCAACCUGGGAAUGGCAGUGGAUACUGGCUCGCUAGAGUGUGUCAGAGGAUGGUGGAAUUCCCGGUGUAGCGGUGAAAUGCGUAGAGAUCGGGAGGAACAUCAGUGGCGAAGGCGGCCAUCUGGGACAACACUGACGCUGAGGCACGAAAGCGUGGGGAGCAAACAGGAUUAGAUACCCCAGUAGUCCCUGUCUCUUAUAC
rnacentral:rRNA from 1 species